UACGUAGGGCGCAAGCGUUGUCCGGAAUUAUUGGGCGUAAAGAGCUCGUAGGCGGCUUGUCACGUCGGAUGUGAAAGCCCGGGGCUUAACCCCGGGUCUGCAUUCGAUACGGGCUAGCUAGAGUGUGGUAGGGGAGAUCGGAAUUCCUGGUGUAGCGGUGAAAUGCGCAGAUAUCAGGAGGAACACCGGUGGCGAAGGCGGAUCUCUGGGACGGUACUGACGCUGAGACGCGAAAGCGUGGGGAGCGAAUAGG
rnacentral:rRNA from 1 species